rnacentral:ribozyme from 14 species
AGAAAAACAAAGAGAAACAAAGCAGAAUUAAUUUCUCUUUCUUUUCCUUUUCUUUUCUUUCCUUUUCUUUCCUUUUCUUUAGUUUGGCUUUUCUU